rnacentral:rRNA from 1 species
GAAAUGCGAUACGUAAUGUGAAUUGCAGAAUUCAGUGAAUCAUCGAAUCUUUGAACGCACCUUGCGCCCUUUGGUAUUCCGAGGGGCACACCCGUUUGAGUGUCGUGACRUUCUCAAACCUUCUCGGUUUCUCGACCGGAAAGGCUUUGGACUUUGGAGGCUUUUGCUGACCUUCCUUUGUUGGAACCAGCUCCUCUGAAAUGAAUUAGUAGGGUCUACUUUGCYGAUCCUUGACGUGAUAAAAUGUUUUCUACGUCUCGGGUUUUGCACUGUUUUGUCCUGGAUCCUGCUUCUAACCGUCUCUCAGAAGACAGAUGGUCGAGCGAUCGUCGCUCGACCCACGAACCUUGACCUCAAAUCGGGUGAGACUACCCGCUGAACUUAA